rnacentral:rRNA from 1 species
UACGAAGGGGGCUAGCGUUGCUCGGAAUUACUGGGCGUAAAGGGCGCGUAGGUGGCCCGACAAGUCUGUGGUGAAAGCUCGACGCUCAACGUCGAGUCGGCCAUAGAUACUGUUGGGCUGGAGCACUGUAGAGGCUCAUGGAAUUCCGGGUGUAGCGGUGGAAUGCGUAGAGAUCCGGAAGAACACCGGUGGCGAAGGCGGUGAGCUGGGCAGUAGCUGACACUGAGGCGCGACAGCGUGGGGAGCAAACAGG